UAGUCCACUUUUUCUUGCUAUUCUGAUAGACGAGAAUACUUGUUGUGAGUCCAAGGAGAAUUGCACAAGUAGUGAGUACUGUCCAGAAAUAUCUAACAUGCUUGUUUUUUCUAAAAAUGCAUU
rnacentral:ribozyme from 14 species